rnacentral:piRNA from 1 species
CUACAACUGUUGUGAUGAAAAUGG